rnacentral:rRNA from 1 species
UACGGAGGGUGCAAGCGUUGUUCGGAAUUACUGGGCGUAAAGCGCGUGUAGGCGGCCUCCUCAGUCUGGUGUGAAAGCCCGGGGCUCACCCCCGGAAGUGCAUUGGAUACUGGGAGGCUGGAGUACCGGAGAGGAGGGUGGAAUUCCUGGUGUAGCGGUGAAAUGCGUAGAUAUCAGGAGGAACACCGGUGGCGAAGGCUGCCCUCUGGACGGAUACUGACGCUGAGACGCGAAAGCGUGGGGAGCAAACAGG